GACGAACGCUGGCGGCGUGCUUAACACAUGCAAGUCGAACGGUGACGAGGAGCUUGCUCCUCCGAUCAGUGGCGAACGGGUGAGUAACACGUGAGUAACCUGCCCCAGACUCUGGAAUAACAGUUGGAAACAGCUGCUAAUACCGGAUACGAGACGGAGAGGCAUCUCUACCGUCUGGAAAGUUUUCGGUCUGGGAUGGACUCGCGGCCUAUCAGCUUGUUGGUGAGGUAAUGGCUCACCAAGGCGACGACGGGUAGCCGGCCUGAGAGGGCGACCGGCCACACUGGGACUGAGACACGGCCCAGACUCCUACGGGAGGCAGCAGUGGGGAAUAUUGCACAAUGGGCGAAAGCCUGAUGCAGCAACGCCGCGUGAGGGAUGACGGCCUUCGGGUCGUAAAGCACUUUUUGGAAGGAAUAGGAAGGAAUGUACUUCCAGAAUAAGUCUCGGCUAACUACGUG
rnacentral:rRNA from 1 species